rnacentral:tRNA from 1 species
GGGAUUAUAAUUUAAAGGUAAAAUAGUCGGUUGUCGUCUGAUUAAUAUGGGUUCGAUUCCCUUUAAUCUCG